rnacentral:tRNA from 1 species
GGGGAUUUAGCUCAGUGGCAGAGCACUUGCCUAGCAAGCACAAGGCAAGUCCCCA